GGUGCAUGUCAGUGGUAGAGAGCUUGCCUAGUGCUUAUGUGGCCCUGGGUUCAAUCCCCAGUACCA
rnacentral:tRNA from 1 species